AGUGAACGCUGGCGGUAGGCCUAACACAUGCAAGUCGAACGGCAGCACAGUAAGAGCUUGCUCUUACGGGUGGCGAGUGGCGGACGGGUGAGGAAUACAUCGGAAUCUACUUUUUCGUGGGGGAUAACGUAGGGAAACUUACGCUAAUACCGCAUACGACCUACGGGUGAAAGCAGGGGAUCUUCGGACCUUGCGCGAUUGAAUGAGCCGAUGUCGGAUUAGCUAGUUGGCGGGGUAAAGGCCCACCAAGGCGACGAUCCGUAGCUGGUCUGAGAGGAUGAUCAGCCACACUGGAACUGAGACACGGUCCAGACUCCUACGGGAGGCAGCGGUGGGGAAGGGUGGACAAUGUGCGCAAGCCUGAUCCAGCCAUACCGCGUUGGUGAAGAAGGCCUUCGGGUGGUAAAGCCCUUUUGUUGGGAAAGAAAAGCAGCAGGUUAAUACCCCGCUGUUCUGACGGUACCCAAAGAAUAAGCACCGGCUAACUUCGUG
rnacentral:rRNA from 1 species